UGAAGACUCAUACGGUGAAAU
rnacentral:siRNA from 1 species